rnacentral:rRNA from 1 species
GAGUUUGAUCUUGGCUCAGAUUGAACGCUGGCGGCAUGCCUUACGCAUGCAAGUCGAACGGCAGCACGGGAGCUUGCUCCUGGUGGCGAGUGGCGAACGGGUGAGUAAUGCAUCGGAACGUAUCCUGGAGUGGGGGAUAACGUAGCGAAAGUUACGCUAAUACCGCAUAUUCUGUGAGCAGGAAAGCGGGGGACCUUCGGGCCUCGCGCUCUUGGAGCGGCCGAUGUCGGAUUAGCUAGUUGGUGAGGUAAAGGCUCACCAAGGCGACGAUCCGUAGCAGGUCUGAGAGGAUGAUCUGCCACACUGGAACUGAGACACGGUCCAGACUCCUACGGGAGGCAGCAGUGGGGAAUUUUGGACAAUGGGGGCAACCCUGAUCCAGCCAUGCCGCGUGAGUGAAGAAGGCCUGGUGUAAGACGUCUUCGUCGAGG